UUUAAUAUGGCAGAUUAAUGCACUAGAUUUAAGCUCUAUUCAUAAAGUUUUACUUUUAUUAAAA
rnacentral:tRNA from 1 species